UACGUAGGGGGCGAGCGUUGUCCGGAAUUAUUGGGCGUAAAGGGCUCGUAGGCGGUUUGUCGCGUCGGGAGUGAAAACUCAGGGCUUAACCCUGAGCCUGCUUCCGAUACGGGCAGACUAGAGGUAUGCAGGGGAGAAUGGAAUUCCUGGUGUAGCGGUGAAAUGCGCAGAUAUCAGGAGGAACACCAAUGGCGAAGGCAGCUCGCUGGGACGGUACUGACGCUGAGACGCGAAAGCGUGGGGAGCAAACAGG
rnacentral:rRNA from 1 species